CCGGGGAGAGAUGGAAAUAAUUUCUUCGACCACUCGGCCGCAGACCUGAUCUCUCUCUAGUGUGAUCAGGCUAAGUCAUUCAGACAUUUCUCGUUGGCACCAUGUAUGUAUUUCUCGUCGAAAUCCCAACUCAUCUCCCAUUUUUUAGGAGAUGCUUGCCUCUGGAAUGGAUGCCGAGGUUCACAAAACUAGCAACAAGCCUGAACGAGACUUGAAAGGCUUUGAAUUGAAAGAUGUUUGAACACCUGCUGCAGUGGCUUCGCCGGCUCAGGUACGCCCAGCUACCAUCAAUGCUGUGGGUAUUACUGUUUGUAAUGGAGAUCUUGUGAAUGGAUGUUCUGAAAUGGAUGGCUGUAUGGACCUUAAUGCUUCUAUGGAAGCUCACAACAAGUAUGUGGAAAUGCUAAAUGCAGCCAUUAAUAAUACCUCCAAAUCUGAGAACUGCA